CCUACGGGUGGCAGCAGUGAGGAAUAUUGGGCAAUGGACGCAGUCUGAACCAGCCAUGGCGCGUGCAGGAAGACGGCCCUAUGAGUUGUAAACUGCUUUUGUACGAGGGUAAACGCAGAUACGCGUAUCUGUCUUAAAGUACCGUACACAUAGGGACAGCCGAACUGGGUGCCAAAAGCCGCGGUAAUACGUAGGAGUCAAGCGUUAUCCGGAUUUAUUGGGUUGAAAGGGUGCGUAGGCGGUGGGAUAAGUUAGAGGUGAAAUCCCGAGGCUCAACUUCGGAACUGCAUCUGAUACUGUUCGGCUUGAGAGUAGUUGAGGUAGGCGGAAUGUAGGGUGUAGCGGUGAAAUGCGUAGAUA
rnacentral:rRNA from 1 species